rnacentral:lncRNA from 1 species
GUAAAAUUAAAGGUAGUGUUAGGGUUAGAGUUAGACAAGGGUUCUUGUUAGGGUUGGGGUUAGGGUUAGGAUUAGGGUUAGUGUUAUGGAUAGGGUUAGGGUUAGGUUUUGGGUUAGGUUAAGGCUUAGAGUUAGUGUUAGUGUUAGGGCUGCCAUUAGAGUUAGUGUUAGGGUUACGGUUACGGUUAGGGUUAGGGUUAGGUUUAGAGUUAUGGUUAGGUUUUGUGUUAGGGUUAGGGUUAGGGUUAGUGUUAAGGUUAGGGUUACGGUUAGGAUUAUGUUUAGGGUUAGGGUUAGGGUUAGUGUUAUGGUUAGUGGUUGUUUUAGGGUUUGGGUUUCUGUUAAUAUUAGGGUUAGGGUUCGAGUUGGGAUUGUGGUUAGAAUUAGCAUUAGGUUGGGGUUAGGGUUAGGUUUCGUGUUAGGGUUGAGAUUAAGGUUAGGUUUAGUGUUAGGGUUCGGGUAACGGUUAGGGUGAGUGUUCGGGUUGUUUUAGGUUAAGGCUAGUGUUAGGUUUAGCAUUAGGGUAAGGGUUAGGGUUACUGUUAGGGUUAUUGUUAAGUUUAGAGUUAGUGUUAGGGUUAUUAUUAGGAUUAGGG